rnacentral:rRNA from 1 species
CGAGUGGCGGACGGGUGAGUAAUGCCUGGGAAUUUGCCUUAGUGUGGGGGAUAACUAUUGGAAACGAUAGCUAAUACCGCAUAAUACCUACGGGUCAAAGGGGGCUUCGGCUCCCGCGCUAAGAGAAGCCCAGGUGAGAUUAGCUAGUUGGUGAGGUAAAGGCUCACCAAGGCGACGAUCUCUAGCUGUUCUGAGAGGAAGAUCAGCCACACUGGAACUGAGACACGGUCCAGACUCCUACGGGAGGCAGCAGUGGGGAAUAUUGCACAAUGGGGGAAACCCUGAUGCAGCCAUGCCGCGUGUGUGAAGAAGGCCUUCGGGUUGUAAAGCACUUUCAGUUGUGAGGAAAGGUUGAUGGUUAAUACCCAUCAGCUGUGACGUUAGCAACAGAAGAAGCACCGGCUAACUCCGUGCCAGCAGCCGCGGUAAUACGGAGGGUGCAAGCGUUAAUCGGAAUUACUGGGCGUAAAGCGCACGCAGGCGGUCUGUUAAGCUAGAUGUGAAAGCCCCGCGCUCAACGUGGGAUGGUCAUUUAGAACUGGCAGACUAGAGUUUUGGAGAGGAGAGUGGAAUUUCUGGUGUAGCGGUGAAAUGCGUAGAUAUCAGAAGGAACAUCAGUGGCGAAGGCGACUCUCUGGUCAAUAACUGACGCUCAUGUGCGAAAGUGUGGGUAGCGAACAGGAUUAGAUACCCUGA